UACGUAGGGUGCGAGCGUUAAUCGGAAUUACUGGGCGUAAAGCGUGCGCAGGCGGCUUCGCAAGUCAGGCGUGAAAUCCCCGGGCUUAACCUGGGAAUGGCGUCUGAAACUACGGAGCUGGAGUGUGGCAGAGGGAGGUAGAAUUCCACGUGUAGCGGUGAAAUGCGUAGAGAUGUGGAGGAACACCGAUGGCGAAGGCAGCCCCCUGGGGUAACACUGACGCUCAUGCACGAAAGCGUGGGGAGCAAACAGG
rnacentral:rRNA from 1 species